CUGUGGUGCUGCCUAGCGCCAGGCUGGGAAGAGCCCUCACUCUUAUUUCUGGCCUGACCAGCAUCAGCUUUAGGCUUCAUAAGGAGCAGCCAUUGAAAUGGUGGACAGGGCCUGAAGGAACACAUGAUUCCUGGGCAGUGUUUAUAAUAUCAGCAAUUUAUUGAGAGGCUGUCAUGGUCAGCUUCUCAACAUGUGUUAUCUUUAUCCUUGCAACAUCUAAAUGAGCUCAAAUCCUGUUGCAGAUGCAGACUGACAUCCCCAAAGCUCUUCUGACCACAGUUUGAAAACAACUGAUUCCAGUAGAAAACCUUCCUUUUCCAGAUGAAGAAACUGAGACCCAGGGAACAAUAGGAAUUAUCGCUGAGUGUGGCCUGAAGUGUGUACUUCACACUUUAAGCUCACUUCACCCAAGUCUGCCAGUGAGUGACAGCUGAGGCUGGAGGCCAAGGAUGCUUGUCUUAGGCUCUGGGUUCUUCAGCUGUAGUG
ensembl:lncRNA